rnacentral:rRNA from 1 species
UACGUAGGGGGCAAGCGUUGUCCGGAAUUAUUGGGCGUAAAGCGCGUGUAGGCGGCCAGAUAAGUCCGCUGUGAAAUCUCGAGGCUCAACUUCGAGCUGUCGGUGGAAACUGUCUGGCUAGAGUCCGGAAGAGGAGAAUGGAAUUCCUGGUGUAGCGGUGAAAUGCGCAGAUAUCAGGAAGAACACCCGUGGCGAAGGCGGUUCUCUGGGACGGUACUGACACUGAGAGACGAAAGCUAGGGGAGCGAAUGGG